GAUGAACGCUGGCGGCGUGCCUAACACAUGCAAGUCGAGCGAUGAAGUUUCCUUCGGGAAACGGAUUAGCGGCGGACGGGUGAGUAACACGUGGGCAACCUACCUCAUAGAGGGGAAUAGCCUUCCGAAAGGGAGAUUAAUACCGCAUAACAUCAUUGAAUGGCAUCAUUCGAUGAUCAAAGGAGCAAUCCGCUAUGAGAUGGGCCCGCGUCGCAUUAGUUAGUUGGUGGGGUAAUGGCCUACCAAGACGACGAUGCGUAGCCGACCUUAGAGGGUGAUCGGCCACAUUGGGACUGAGACACGGCCCAGACUCCUACGGGAGGCAGCAGUGGGGAAUAUUGCACAAUGGAGGAAACUCUGAUGCAGCAACGCCGCGUGAGUGAUGACGGUCUUCGGAUUGUAAAGCUCUGUCUUUAGGGAUGAUAAUGACAGUACCUAAGGAGGAAGCCACGGCUAACUACGUGCCAGCCGCCGCAGUAA
rnacentral:rRNA from 1 species